rnacentral:snRNA from 1 species
AGCUUUGCGCAGUGGCAGUAUCGUAGCCAAUGAGGUUUAUCUGAGGCGCGAUUAUUGCUAAUAGAAAGAUAGAAU